rnacentral:piRNA from 1 species
UGUGUUUCUUCUCUGGAUGGCCAGGAU